UACGUAGGGGGCAAGCGUUGUCCGGAUUUAUUGGGCGUAAAGAGCGUGUAGGCGGCCAGAUAGGUCAGCUGUGAAAACUCGAGGCUCAACCUCGAGACGUCGGUUGAAACCAUCUGGCUAGAGUCCGGAAGAGGAGAGUGGAAUUCCUGGUGUAGCGGUGGAAUGCGCAGAUAUCAGGAGGAACACCAAUAGCGAAGGCAGCUCGCUGGGACGGUAUUGACGCUAAGGCGCGAAAGCGUGGGGAGCAAACAGG
rnacentral:rRNA from 1 species